rnacentral:lncRNA from 1 species
GGGUCUUGACGUCUCUCUUUCACACACAACAGCACCGACAUUUAAAACCCACUCGACAUACACCUGCUCUUCUGAAGGCGGACGGGAGGUAACUAGAACAUCAGUCUUAAGGUAUAAAUUGACGUUAAAAAAGGCAAAAAAUGUUUCGCCGCCAACACAUCAUAACGCUAAAGUCUCACUCUUGUCAUUUUCUGAAACUUGGCAGCCCUGUAUUCACACGACAGUAAGGCACAAAGUCACAACAUGUCAACCUGAGGACAUCCACCACAGUCUUUUACCUGGAUGACCAGUGGUCAGUUGAUACCCAGUCAUCGAGAGCUCCAGCUGACUGCUUCAUGGGUUCAUUCUGGACAAAAAUGAUGGCGCUGUCGAAAACUCUGUGGUGGGUUUUUAUUCACACUAAUUCCCCCCAAAAAACAGCAGCAAACAGUGGCAAAAAUGUUGCAAAAUGACAAAAAGGCCAGGCAAAUAAAAAUGAGGUAUUUACAGCAGAAUCUCAGUUGAACUCAUAGCAGGCCCACAAUGCCACUGGGCAAAGAUUUCUGAGUGGGCAGAACACCCAUUAAAUACCCCUUAGCCCCUCCCCUGGGCAAAACCAUAAACAAAUUACAGGAGUUUAAGGAACAGUGUAGCCAAAUUGGACACCAAGUUCAACAAUCAAUCAUAUAUUGUAACAUGGACAAAAUGACACAAAAAUCCUUUCAUCGGCUGUAUUUACCUUUUCACCUAAAACACAUUAAUUCAGGAGAUAAUACCAAGAAUAACGAUAAUGGUGUGGUCCGGUGGUCACAUGAUUUCCAAAAGCGCGCCACCUAGUGCUAUUUACUGUGGGACCAGGAAGUGCCCCGGUUUGGCUUUGGAAGAUGGCAGCAGGUAAGAGUGUAUGUGUGUGUGUGGCGUGUAGUAGCCCAGUGUGCACAGUUGAACGCUUACAGCGGGGAGAAAAGAGUCCAAGUAGUUGAAAAAGAGUUUGUAGGAGUGCAGGACCGCGAGGGUAAAAGUUAAGACACAGUCUAACGAAGCUUGGCACCGCGGGGAGCGAGAGCGCACUUUGCGCGCUCCUGGCACCGGCAUCUAGCGCGCAUUCGGUCAGCGUCGCGUAUCUGCACCGUGGAGCAGCGCCGUCUAUCGCACACGGGAUAUGUUGUACAGCCACGGUCAGCUGGGCUCAGUAAAGAGGAAAUAAAAUGCUCACAACAGGUUCUUUUGCUUUUCUGUGGUUUAUUUCCUGCUAAAUUGGAUAUAAUCCAGUGACUUUUUGGCCUGUACUGUUUGUGAAAAAGCAACGUGAUUUUACAGUUUCCGGUUUUUGCAGGUUUACUUGUGUUUCAUAAAGUAAUCUAUGUUCCUUUUUGCUGUGCUGUUACCUUCUGACAAAGUUAGCAAGUAAAGUCUUUUUGGUGUCCACAUGGAUCAGCCAGAGUAGUUAAAAGUCCGGUUGGGGUCCACAUGGAUCAAGGAUUGACCAUCGGAUUGUUCUGUAUUACUGAUAAAUCCAUAUCUAGGAAGUACCUCUCAGGUUGUUUUGCUUUUCUGUGGAUUAUUUCCUGCUAAUUUGGAUAUAAUUCAGUGACUGUUGAGCCUCUACUAUAUGUGAAAAAGCAACGUGAUUUUAAAGUUGUGGUUUUUGCAGAUUAACUCAUGUUUAAUAAUCCAUGUUCCUUUAUGCUGUGCUGUUACCUUCACACAAAGUUAGAAGUAAAAGGUCCUUUUGGGGUCCACUUGGGUCAGGGAUUGACCAUCGGAUUAUUCUGUGUUACUGAUAAAUCCAUAACCAGGAAGUAUUUCUCAGCUACACCAACUGAUACACAGUCGGUAGUUCGCAUAUGGUGUUUUAUUUUGAAAUUUACUGGAUGAAAUACGCUGUUUCUGUGCUUGAGUUCAAUGCACAGUAUUGAUAAGUCUAAAAUACCAACAUAAUAAGUGCCACCCUUCAGUCUGCCAGUCUCUGUUAACCAGUUACAAUACGUCAUCUUGAAACAACAACUCAUUCAAACAGAAAUAAUAUAACUAUGAUUCAUUUCCAUGGAGAUCUGUCUGCUUUGGUCGGCUACUUUGCUCUAACUUUCCAAGUGCUCUGUCAUGUGUUUAUGUCUGUCUUCUCAUUGGAGGGUUGCUCCUGCUAAUUGGUCUUAAUUGUUGGUAAUACCCCCACGUCGUUUUGCUUUAGGUUGCCUCGGCAUGCGGCUGAGGAGAUGCCUUUUUUAUUGAUGUGACAGCGCUAAAUUGAGAACCUUUGGCGGAGUGUCAAAGCCUAAUUAAUCACUCUAAUUUCAUCUCUCCAUGCGUCCUCAGCCAGUGAGUGAAUGUGAUCAGAGGGAGAGCCGUGUCUGCGUAGUCUCCUCAUGCUAAUUAGCUGCUAGCCCGGAGAUGGAGAGGCCCUCAGGGUGAGAGGCGAGGGGCUAAAGCCAGUCUAAAUGAUGACCAAGAGAGCAGGAAUCAGAACCCAGUUCAUAUUACAUUCAAGUUGUCCCCACCUCUGACCCCCUCCUCUGCCAGCCAACUCAGUGUGGUUGCUUGAAGGAAUCAAGGCUUACAUGUCCAUCAUUCAUGUGACACUUUAUUGUCUGUCAGGCUGCAUGACCACACCUUCAUUUAAAGUUUAUCUGAUAUGAAUAUUGGGAUCAUUGCUCUGAACAACACACAGUAAAACGCAAACAUCUCUUAUGGCAAUGUUUGGUUUCUUUUAAAAUGGUAUUCCAGACAUGCAGCAGGUACAUAAAAGCUUUGAUGAAACUAUCAGUUCCAUUCAUUCACUGUCAUGUUUAUUAAAACUUAUGUUCAUGAAUCUUAGUUUUAAAAUUGAAAAGUACUUUUGUCUUUGGGUGAGUUUAAAUUAAACAUUUCAGAUACUGGUUAUCUUAUGAUUGGUAACGGUGAAUAUCACAUUCAGACAACCAGGCAGCACCCCAUGAUCAUGUGCAGAUUUUGCAAGCUACAUUAAAUAUCUGGUGUAUGUUACAUUACGCUGUUCAAUGGGUUCAUUUAUUUGUAUAUUAAAGCAGUACAGUUUUGCUUUCUGCAAUAUAACAUGUCAGACAUUACAUAGGUAUACAAACCCUAUUUUCAAGGUAUGUUGUUUUUUAGAAUAGGUUUGAUAGCCGUCUUCAAAAUCUAAACAUGGGAAAGGAUUUUUUUUUUUGGCAAACAUGUUUGUAAACUUUAAAAAUGCUGUUAUCUUAGGAUUUGUUUUCAACUUUUUUAAUUUGGAUGAGGGGAUUAGGAAAUAGAAAAUGUUAUCAUUUUUACUAUGAUACUAAUUCUAGCCACAAAAAUGUGUAAAAAUAAUCCACAAAAAUGAUCCUAAUAUUAGUAUUUUGUUAUUUGUAGAUAAAUGAAAGCAUUAUCUUAGUUAAGUUAAAGUUAGCUAAGUUAAAUACCCUAAAAGCAGUUUAUUUACCCAGUUACAGAUGAAAAAUACUCAGGAUAUUGGUUAUUUGGACAUAUAUUGAUAAGAGCUAAUACGUUUUGAAUAUUAUAUAAUACAUUA